rnacentral:rRNA from 1 species
AUGUAUAACCUUCCUCCUUGGAUGUGCAUGAAGCGGAAGUUCAUUAUGAUGCCAGUUCUCAUCCAAGGCCCUAAGCAACCCGACAACGACAUUGAUGUGUACCUAAGGCCAUUAGUUGAAGAACUUUUACAGCUGUGGAAUGGAAACGGUGUACGUACGUGGGAUGAGCACAAACAGGAGGAAUUUAACCUGCACGCGUUGCUGUUUGUAACCAUCAACGAUUGGCCCGCUCUCAGUAACCUUUCAGGACAGACAAACAAGGGAUACCACGCAUGCACGCACUGUUUAGAUGACACUGAAAGUAUAUACCUGGACAAAAGCAGGAAGAAUGUGUACCUGGGCCAUCGUUGA